GGACGCGUAGCUCAGUGGUAGAGCACUGCCUUCACACGGCAGGGGUCAGGGGUUCGAAACCCUUCGCGUCCACCA
rnacentral:tRNA from 1 species